GCUCCAUUUAUUUUAAGUGGAGCAUUUAUUGACGUAGGUUGUUUUAACAUUUUCCGCAAUUUUAAUAUAAAAAGCGAAUUUUAUAAAUUUAAGUGCU